GACGAACGCUGGCGGCGUGCCUAAUACAUGCAAGUAGAACGCUGAAGAGAGGAGCUUGCUCUUCUUGGAUGAGUUGCGAACGGGUGAGUAACGCGUAGGUAACCUGCCUUGUAGCGGGGGAUAACUAUUGGAAACGAUAGCUAAUACCGCAUAACAAUGGAUGACACAUGUCAUUUAUUUGAAAGGGGCAAUUGCUCCACUACAAGAUGGACCUGCGUUGUAUUAGCUAGUAGGUGAGGUAAUGGCUCACCUAGGCGACGAUACAUAGCCGACCUGAGAGGGUGAUCGGCCACACUGGGACUGAGACACGGCCCAGACUCCUACGGGAGGCAGCAGUAGGGAAUCUUCGGAAAUGGGGGCAACCCUGACCGAGCAACGCCGCGUGAGUGAAGAAGGUUUUCGGAUCGUAAAGCUCUGUUGUAAGUCAAGAACGGGUGUGAGAGUGGAAAGUUCACACUGUGACGGUAGCUGACCAGAAAGGGACGGCUAACUACGUG
rnacentral:rRNA from 1 species